AACGAACGCUGGCGGCAUGCCUAACACAUGCAAGUCGAACGAGACCUCCGGGUCUAGUGGCGCCCGGGUGCGUAACGCGUGGGAACCUGCCCUUAUGUUCGGAAUAACUCCCCGAAAUGGGUGCUAAUACCGGAUAAUGUCUUCGGACCAAAGAUUUAUCGCCUUUGGAUGGGCCCGCGUUGGAUUAGCUAGUUGGUAGGGUAAAAGCCUACCAAGGCGACGAUCCAUAGCUGGUCUGAGAGGAUGAUCAGCCACACUGGGACUGAGACACGGCCCAGACUCCUACGGGAGGCAGCAGUGGGGAAUAUUGGACAAGGGGCGAAAGCCUGAUCCAGCAAUGCCGCGUGAGUGAUGAAGGCCUUAGGGUUGUAAAGCUCUUUUACCCGGGAUGAUAAUGACAGUACCGGGAGAAUAAGCACCGGCUAACUCCGUG
rnacentral:rRNA from 1 species